rnacentral:rRNA from 1 species
UAAGCAUAUCAAUAAGCGGAGGAAAAGAAACCAACAGGGAUUGCCUUAGUAACGGCGAGUGAAGCGGCAAAAGCUCAAAUUUGAAAUCUCGCACCUUCGGUGUCCGAGUUGUAAUUUGAAGAAGGUAACUUUGGAGUCAGCUCUAGUCUAUGUUCCUUGGAACAGGACGUCACAGAGGGUGAGAAUCCCGUGCGAUGAGAUGUCUGAUUCUAUGUAAAGUGCUUUCGAAGAGUCGAGUUGUUUGGGAAUGCAGCUCUAAGUGGGUGGUAAAUUCCAUCUAAAGCUAAAUAUUGGCGAGAGACCGAUAGCGAACAAGUACAGUGAUGGAAAGAUGAAAAGAACUUUGAAAAGAGAGUGAAAAAGUACGUGAAAUUGUUGAAAGGGAAGGGUUUGAGAUCAGACUUGGUAUUUUGUAUGUCUCGCUUUCGGGUGGGGCCUCUACAGUUUACUGGGCCAGCAUCGGUUUGGACGGUAGGAUAAUGACAUUGGAAUGUGGCACCACUUCGGUGGUGUGUUAUAGAC